rnacentral:rRNA from 1 species
GGGUUGUGAGGUUAAGCGACUAAGCGUACACGGUGGAUGCCCUGGCAGUCAGAGGCGAUGAAGGACGUGCUAAUCUGCGAAAAGCGUCGGUAAGGUGAUAUGAACCGUUAUAACCGGCGAUGUCCGAAUGGGGAAACCCAGUGUGAUUCCUCACACUAUCGUUAACUGAAUACAUAGGUUAACGAGGCGAACCGGGGGAACUGAAACAUCUAAGUACCCCGAGGAAAAGAAAUCAACCGAGAUUCCCCCAGUAGCGGCGAGCGAACGGGGAGCAGCCCAGAGUCUGAAUCAGCUUGUGUGUUAGUGGAACGGUCUGGAAAGUCCGACGGUACAGGGUGAUAGUCCCGUACACCAAAAUGCACAGGCUGUGAACUCGAAGAGUAGGGCGGGACACGUGGUAUCCUGUCUGAAUAUGGGGGGACCAUCCUCCAAGGCUAAAUACUCCUGACUGACCGAUAGUGAACCAGUACCGUGAGGGAAAGGCGAAAAGAACCCCGGCGAGGGGAGUGAAAAAGAACCUGAAACCGUGUACGUACAAGCAGUGGGAGCACCUUCGGGUGUGACUGCGUACCUUUUGUAUAAUGGGUCAGCGACUUAUAUUCUGUAGCAAGGUUAACCGUAUAGGGGAGCCGCAGGGAAACCGAGUCUUAACUGGGCGUUAAGUUGCAGGGUAUAGACCCGAAACCCGGUGAUCUAGCCAUGGGCAGGUUGAAGGUUGGGUAACACUAACUGGAGGACCGAACCGACUAAUGUUGAAAAAUUAGCGGAUGACUUGUGGCUGGGGGUGAAAGGCCAAUCAAACCGGGAGAUAGCUGGUUCUCCCCGAAAGCUAUUUAGGUAGCGCCUCGUGAACUCAUCUUCGGGGGUAGAGCACUGUUUCGGCUAGGGGGUCAUCCCGACUUACCAACCCGAUGCAAACUACGAAUACCGAAGAAUGUUAUCACGGGAGACACACGGCGGGUGCUAACGUCCGUCGUGAAGAGGGAAACAACCCAGACCGCCAGCUAAGGUCCCAAAGUCAUGGUUAAGUGGGAAACGAUGUGGGAAGGCACAGACAGCCAGGAUGUUGGCUUAGAAGCAGCCAUCAUUUAAAGAAAGCGUAAUAGCUCACUGGUCGAGUCGGCCUGCGCGGAAGAUGUAACGGGGCUAAACCAUGCACCGAAGCUGCGGCAGCGACACUAUGUGUUGUUGGGUAGGGGAGCGUUCUGUAAGCCUGCGAAGGUGACCUGUGAGGGUUGCUGGAGGUAUCAGAAGUGCGAAUGCUGACAUAAGUAACGAUAAAGCGGGUGAAAAGCCCGCUCGCCGGAAGACCAAGGGUUCCUGUCCAACGUUAAUCGGGGCAGGGUGAGUCGACCCCUAAGGCGAGGCCGAAAGGCGUAGUCGAUGGGAAACAGGUUAAUAUUCCUGUACUUGGUGUUACUGCGAAGGGGGGACGGAGAAGGCUAUGUUAGCCGGGCGACGGUUGUCCCGGUUUAAGCAUGUAGGCUGAUUGUCCAGGCAAAUCCGGAUAAUCAAGGCUGAGGUGUGAUGACGAGGCACUACGGUGCUGAAGUAACAAAUGCCCUGCUUCCAGGAAAAGCCUCUAAGCAUCAGGUAACAUCAAAUCGUACCCCAAACCGACACAGGUGGUCAGGUAGAGAAUACCAAGGCGCUUGAGAGAACUCGGGUGAAGGAACUAGGCAAAAUGGUGCCGUAACUUCGGGAGAAGGCACGCUGGUGUGUAGGUGAAGUCCCUGCGGAUGGAGCUGAGACCAGUCGAAGAUACCAGCUGGCUGCAACUGUUUAUUAAAAACACAGCACUGUGCAAACACGAAAGUGGACGUAUACGGUGUGACGCCUGCCCGGUGCCGGAAGGUUAAUUGAUGGGGUUAUCCGUAAGGAGAAGCUCUUGAUCGAAGCCCCGGUAAACGGCGGCCGUAACUAUAACGGUCCUAAGGUAGCGAAAUUCCUUGUCGGGUAAGUUCCGACCUGCACGAAUGGCGUAAUGAUGGCCAGGCUGUCUCCACCCGAGACUCAGUGAAAUUGAACUCGCUGUGAAGAUGCAGUGUACCCGCGGCAAGACGGAAAGACCCCGUGAACCUUUACUAUAGCUUGACACUGAACAUUGAGCCUUGAUGUGUAGGAUAGGUGGGAGGCUUUGAAGCGUGGACGCCAGUCUGCGUGGAGCCAACCUUGAAAUACCACCCUUUAAUGUUUGAUGUUCUAACGUUGGCCCCUUAUCGGGGUUGCGGACAGUGUCUGGUGGGUAGUUUGACUGGGGCGGUCUCCUCCCAAAGCGUAACGGAGGAGCACGAAGGUUAGCUAAUCCUGGUCGGACAUCAGGAGGUUAGUGCAAUGGCAUAAGCUAGCUUGACUGCGAGCGUGACGGCGCGAGCAGGUGCGAAAGCAGGUCAUAGUGAUCCGGUGGUUCUGAAUGGAAGGGCCAUCGCUCAACGGAUAAAAGGUACUCCGGGGAUAACAGGCUGAUACCGCCCAAGAGUUCAUAUCGACGGCGGUGUUUGGCACCUCGAUGUCGGCUCAUCACAUCCUGGGGCUGAAGUAGGUCCCAAGGGUAUGGCUGUUCGCCAUUUAAAGUGGUACGCGAGCUGGGUUUAGAACGUCGUGAGACAGUUCGGUCCCUAUCUGCCGUGGGCGCUGGAGAAUUGAGGGGGGCUGCUCCUAGUACGAGAGGACCGGAGUGGACGCAUCACUGGUGUUCGGGUUGUCAUGCCAAUGGCACUGCCCGGUAGCUAAAUGCGGAAGAGAUAAGUGCUGAAAGCAUCUAAGCACGAAACUUGCCCCGAGAUGAGUUCUCCCUGAGACUUUAAGUCUCCUGAAGGAACGUUGAAGACGACGACGUUGAUAGGCCGGGUGUGUAAGCGCAGCGAUGCGUUGAGCUAACCGGUACUAAUGAACCGUGAGGCUUAACCUUACAACGCCGAAG